UGAGAGCCCCGUAUGGUCGGACACCAAGCCUGUGUAAGGCUCCUUCGACGAGUCGAGUAGUUUGGGAAUGCUGCUCUAAAUGGGAGGUAAAUCUCUUCUAAAGCUAAAUACCGGCCAGAGACCGAUAGCGCACAAGUAGAGUGAUCGAAAGAUGAAAAGCACCUUGAAAAGGGGGUUAAAUAGUACGUGAAAUUGCUGAAAGGGAAGGGCUUGUGACCAGACUUGCGCCGGGCGGCUCACCCUGGGUUCUCCCAGGGGUACUCCGCCCGGCUCAGGCCAGCAUCGGUUCUCGCGGGGGGAUAAGAGCGGUGGGAACGUAGCUCCCCACGGGGAGUGUUAUAGCCCGCCGCACGAUACCUUCGCGGGGACCGAGGACCGCGCUUCGGCAAGGAUGCUGGCGUAAUGGUCAUCAGCCACCCGUCUUGAAACACGGACCAAGGAGUCGUCCAUUAGAGCGAGCGUUUGGGUGUAAAACCCGCACGCGUAAUGAAAGUGAACGCAGGUGAGAGCUUCGGCGCAUCAUCGACCGAUCCUGAAGUUUUCGGAUGGAUUUGAGUAAGAGUUUUACUGGACGGACCCGAAAGACAGUGAACUAUGCUUGUAUAGGGUGAAGCCAGAGGAAACUCUGGUGGAGGCUCGCAGCGGUUCUGACGUGCAAAUCGAUCGUCAAAUAUGAGCAUGGGGGCGAAAGACUAAUCG
rnacentral:rRNA from 1 species